GAGGGUAUGGCUCAGUGGUGGAGCGCUUGCUUAACAUGCAUGAGGUCCUGGGUUCAAUCCCCAGGACCACCA
rnacentral:tRNA from 1 species